rnacentral:rRNA from 1 species
GAGACAGUUCGGUCCCUAUCCGUCGUGGGCGUAGGAAAUUUGAGAGGAGCUGUCCUUAGUACGAGAGGACCGGGAUGGACAUACCUCUGGUGUACCAGUUGUCGUGCCAACGGCAUAGCUGGGUAGCUAUGUAUGGACGGGAUAAGUGCUGAAAGCAUCUAAGCAUGAAGCCCCCCUCAAGAUGAGAUUUCCCAACUUCGGUUAUAAGAUCCCUCGAAGAUGACGAGGUUAAUAGGUUCGAGGUGGAAGCGUGGUGACACGUGGAGCUGACGAAUACUAAUCGAUCGAAGACUUAAUCAA